GAGAGGAUCUAGCGCGGCAGGAGCUCUCGUCCUGUGCAGGGGGUAGGGGCGAGAGGGGAAUGCAAAGUGGUCCAGUGGUCCGGCUGCUUUGAAGACAGAGUGACAGUUUCUCACAAAAUCGGAAACACUCUGUGUGACCCGGCAGUCCUGCUCUCCUGCAUUUACUCGGAGGAGCUGAAAGCUCACGUUCACACAAAGCCUGAACACGUGUGUAUAUGGCGCCUUGAGCCAUAACUGGAAAAUUAGAAAGCUACCAAGAUGUUCUCUACUAAGUGAAUGAUUGACAGUAUUUCAUCCAGACAGUAAAAUAUUUUGCAGCACUAAAAGUUAGGCUAUCAACCCACGACAAAGCAUAGAGGAACCUUAAAAUCCAUCUUAAGCCAAAGAAGGUGAUAAGAAAGUUUUAGCUAUUGUAUGAUUUCCACCAGCUUGCAUUCGGUAAAAGGCAAACCUGUGGAGACCGUAACAGUUUCGGCGGUGGCCAUGGGUGAAAGGUGACUGCGCGUUGAGGAGACAGCACUAUUCUCUGGGAUCCACUGGUGUGGAUGCAUCUGUCCUCAGAUCUGCAGACUGUGCACCAUGAAGGGAGAUGGGAGCGCUCUGUCCGUGACGGUGUGACGGUACAGGCAGAUGCCUUUUAGCACGCCGUGAAGGUGGCUGGGCAUGUCUGGGCAUAGGAGGCGAGAGCAAUUUUAUGGACUUUCCAGUGAAUUUUGCUGCAAACUAAAAACUGUUCUGAAAAUAAAGUCUAUUAAAAAGAGCAAAACAUAAUUCACAGCUUAAACAACUAGUCAUUCUGGGUUUAGGAUCUACAGAUACAUGGAAAUGAAGGAGAUGUCACAACUCCAAAAUUUAUGCAAGAGGAGAGUAGAAAUGUAUGCUCCUGAUGGCUUUGCCGUAUGUAUGUGGUCACACUAUUUGAAGGCAGAAUGUGAAAGACGAAGAAGCAAGGGUAUUCCCUGAGCACGCUUGUUAAAAAUGAAAUGAACGACUACCAGAGAAAAGGAAAUACUCAGGGUAGGCAAUUAAUCUACAAAGAAAAUAGACAAAGUAAAAACAGCUAAAACCAUGGCAGAAAAUGGAUGGAACAGAGAUCAGGUGACAAGACCAUAGACUUACUACAAGCUCACAGGAGUGCACACACAUAGCUAAGUGUAUAUAAAUAAGUCAAGGUCUCAUGGGGCUGCUGCCGCAUGCCUGUAAUUCCAGCACUUGAGAGAAUGAGGCAGGAGGAUUGCAAGUUCAAGGUCAGCCUGGGCUACAACACAUUUGAAGCCAGCUGGAAUUGCAUAGUUUGAAUAAAUAUAUAAAAAAAAAUUCUUAACCCUAGAAACACCAUAAAAUAUAUGACAGAUGGGAUUUCACUGAAUUAGAAACAUAUGUUCCUGAGAAAAUUAGCUAUAGUCUGUAAGAAAAUACUUGAAACGCAUCAUUGGUACAAGUCUUGUAUGUGGUACAUAUAAAGAACUCAUUGAAUUAAAUCUGUGUUAAUAUCAUUGACAUCUCCACGGCUUCAGGAGUUUAAAGUUGGUUUCUCGCUCAUAUUCUGUAUCAGAUUCAGAAAUGUUACUCGGGUUCUCUGGAGAAACAGCCCAGCAGGAAGACAUUAUUGACCGGGGAUUGGAUCACCAGAUCACCGAAGUUGAGCAGCCUGAGAUCUGCAGUUUGUAAAUGGGAGACCAGGAGAGCCGAGGGUUAACAGCCUGAGCCUCCAGGCAAGGGGGACCCUAAGGCAGUUCCAGCCAGAAGUCCUGCAAGCUGAGAGGCUGAGGGGAGCUGGUGACCUAAGGCAAGGAAAACCUUAGAGUCCUGCGGGAGUCGGCCAAGAAGGAGGAGCCCCGCUCCCCAUAAAGCCAAUCACUUAUUCCAACGGUGAAUUCGGCUGAACAGCGGCCGACGCAAGGCAGCACGAGAGAUUUACUCCGUCCGCCAACUGCAUUGCUGACCGCAUGCCCAGGUGCACCAGGAAGAGGGGACCUAGGCCUGGCGCCCGUGGCGAUGGGCACGCAGCUUUAAUCCGGUGGCAGCAGCUGCGCUCUGCGCGGGUGUGUGGGAUUCUCCACUCCAGGCUGACGCACAGGCCCUUCCUGGGAUGGAAACUGCAGGAAGGCAGUGGGAAGGCACGAGGACCGGUGAAGGAUGGUCUCCGACCAAGCUUUGCUCUGAACGUAGGCGCUGGUCGCUCUUCUCAGGCUUUGUGGGCUAAGCGACGUCAUGGCUGAGCUGAUGUGAGCGAGGGGGAAAUGAACAGCUGGAUACAGCGUGCGUCCGAUGAAAGCAGGCGCUUAGUCUCGGGGAUGGGGUGACUGGGAACCCCAACUCACCUCAUCACGUUGUCUCCACAGGCUCAGGAAGGAAUCAUUUUUCAGAAGAGUCUCCACAUCAGCUUGGAAGCCAGGAUGUUUCCAUAUAACAGAAAUGCAUUCUGGGGACAGAGAAAAUAGAAAUUCUUGCCUUCAGUCUCUCGAUAGAUGCUUUACAUCAGUGAUAUUACAUGAAGAGCAUUUAGAAAGUCGGCUUCAGUGACUGCUGCUGUGGUUUGCAGGCAAAAAGCGUGGAAUACUGCAAACACAUUCCUUCCGGCAAGAUGACAACUAUGGUUUGCUGCUGUUGUUUUCUCUGAACAGUGCCCUGGCUGGGUUGUGACCCAUCUAAGCGCCCCGUUGUUCAGGCAGCCCGUCCUUGCAAGAGCUGAACUUCCACAAGUUGGACUUUUAAGAGAAAACACUGAAAAAAGUGAUAUUGACAUUAGCAUUGAAUACUUGACUUUAUAAAUCAACAAUGUGGUGUUACCUUGAAUUUAGAAGCUUGAUAAAGAAAGUCCGCACAUUAAAAACGUGUUUGCCCCACCUUGCAUUAGCAAGAACCAAGGUGCUUGAUUGGAGGAAAAUUGCCAAAGCGGCUACUUAUCAGGAAUUCAGUAUAAAGUUUAAGCAACUAACAAUACUUUUGCAAAGCUCUCCAGAACUGUAAUCCUGGAUUUCUAAAUUUUAAUAUAUUACCAAAUAUGCAUGUGCUAACCUAAAAUCUUACUCUAAAUGAUUAUUUCUUUCUAUUUUUUGCAUAAGACAAUGGAGUCAUUGAAUGUAAUGCAACUGAUUUUCUUUAACUGCUUUCAUAUCAUACUCCUUUAACGGUGAAUCCACAAUGAUGACGUGAAUAUAGAAAAGAAGCUGCUGUUGGAGAGGAAGGAAGGGGCGGUCAUAGGUAAGAUGACUGUGAUCAAAGCACGUUAUACACACUGAAGCCCCCAAAAUGUGAAGUGGGGGAAGGGCGGAGAAGGAAGUGACGGGGGAGACGAUUAAAAUACACCCUGCGCACGCACACAUCUGCCCAGUGAAAGCACUGACCUGGGUGAUCAGCACAAACUAACAGUGUGGGGGUGCCGAGAGGAGCUCCAGGCCCAGGAGUGUCCUGCAGGGGCAGCUCCAUGCUUUUGUUCUUGGCCAGGCUGCCUAGCUGUCUUCUAUUUUUUCCUCUUUUUUUUUUUUUUUCUUUAUAAUUUGGCACAAAUUGUAUAUAGAGGGAAUUUUUCUCUCUGUCUAAAGCUUGUGUUCAGUUGGGUCAUUUUUGUUCAGAGUCAUGUAUUUUCUGUGGUGUGAGGAUAAUACUUUCUCUAGCCCUGUUUAUGCCAGAUAUGCAUAUUUCAUUCUAGUAAGAGUUAUGCUUCUUAUUCAUGGCCUUUGUGUCCUGUGACAGAGCACAGAGACAUUCCAUUUCUGGGCCAUCAUUUUCUCAAAAUUCCAAGAGGCAUUUAUGGAAAAGAGAAUGUUAUAUAGCAGAAAGAUACUUUAAAAGUAGAUUGCCUGGAAAUUGGAAAUAGCCAUAGACUAUUCAAGCGUUCAUUCUUCUACUGAUAGGAUACUAAUGCAGAAAUAUAGGCAGUUUUAUGAAUUCAGAAAACAUGACAGUGACCUUGAGGGUUAGUUGAAAAGGGAUGUAAAGGGGUUGGAGCUGUCUCAGUGGCACAGAUUUUUGUGCCUGGCCAUGCUGUUUAGAAGAGCUGUUUCUGUGGGGAACACGAAACAGUAUAGGAAACAUUGGAACGAGCAGUUUCUCAAUGAAACUCACAGAAAGCUCUUUGGUGAGGAAAAGCUGAUUCUAGAGAUGUCAAAUUGUGCAGAUGUUAUAUUAAAAUUCUACCGUCCAGAUUUGAGCAGCUGCUCAUUUGCCUUUGACAUAAUAAACGCAGUCCGUCCAAGCUUGCACUUGAGUGGUGGGUGCUGCCGACAAGCACAGUCACAUGCAAGUUGGUGGGAUUCUCGUCUCCCGUAAACGGGCAUGACGAGUCCUGUGAGUGGGUUUUACAGCAGUUCAGGCCCAGAGCUGAUCUGUUUGGUGUGCAGAAUUCAUACUGAAUGCUUUGCAAGUGAAUUUGCUCAGCAUUAGUUCCACUCUGUGUAGCUCAGCAGGUCUCCCUGCAUCACCAAAGUCUAAACAAAUCAUAAAUGAAUGCAUUGGCCAAUAGUAACAACCAAUGAUAGCAACAAAGCCUGUAACAGGAAGUUCACUGAGAAAGUCUGGUCAUAGGAAAUGUUAGCACAAUCAUAAUUUAUAUAUAUUUUCAAGGGAAAGAAUCAUACUUUCUCUCUAUAGUCAAAAUUUUCUGCUCAGAGUACUGACGUUUAUUAUAUUACAGAGGAGAACCCUCUGUCUGCUGAGGGCUGGGUGUCAGGUGUCAUUUCUGCCCUGGCCCACAUGUACCAUUCAUGUCUUUGUUUCCCAGUUAUCUUUGUUUCCUACAGUUUUUCAUGCUAAUGAAAUAAGAAAAUUUUACUUGUAACCAUCAUGCAUGUAUCUUAUAAACAAGUGCUAGUAAAAAUUAAAUGAAAAAAGGAAAAUAGAAUGGUAAGGUAAUUAUCUUAUAGACACCAGACUUCCAUCAAAUACAUGUUGGCCAAAAGGGGCCAGGGGUGAUUCUCUGUGGCUGUGAAACACUUCUUGAUGACUGAGGAAAGUACUCUUCCCAGCCCAUGUCUUCUCAUAACCCAGAUACAUCAGUCUUUCUUAGAUACCAAGUAAAGAAACAUGAAAGGCUCACACCUGUUUCCAAGGGUACAAAGUUCCACGCCUGAGCUGCACAACAGGCCAAGUGAAGCGUUCGUGUCACCACCACUGUUCUGCGAGAGCUUACUCUAGUGGCUGCUGUGUGCAGGCUUCAGCCAGACACCUCUGAUCACAAUGCCUCUGAGAUGACCUAUUUAUGCAUGAGCACCUGGAGAGAUAGUGCUUAUCAUGUGGUUAUAAGAGAAGUAUUGCCAAAAACUGAGCUGGGGGUGGUGGCACACUCCUGUAAUCCCAGUACUCAGGAGGCUG